AAGGGAUUACAUAAAUUUUAAUAAUAAGCAAAGUUUUGUAACAGGUAGACAGGCUACAACUGGAGACAAGCACCAUAUCAGGCAACAAAUAAACCACCCUGUAAAUGAGUUUAGUGAUAUAUGCAGCAGAGCACGUCUUCCAAUUCAUAAAUGCCCCUAAAGCGUGCAAGUAAGAUAAUCAACAUUCAUCAAAAACCAACCCUACCUCUGAAAGAAACUCAGCUGAAGUAACUGCUGUUUCUUCCCUUAUUUCUCUCAUUGCUGCAAAUCUAAGGUCCUCCCAUUCAUCGGCACCACCCUGAUGCUUUUGCCAUGUGUCCGGUAUGUUCAUCCUCAAUGAUCUUUUUGGAGGCAUUAACGAGACAAAUAUGAACNNNCUUUCUGUACCCUUGAGGAGGCGUUUCCAUCGAUAAGGCUGUUAGAGAUAACGAAGUAGAAACCUUCGAGGAUUUAUUCUUCCACGUCAACAAUGGCACGCCCGCAAAUUUGCCAAGUUUUGAACGGUUUUGAACGGCAACUUCGACCUGAGAAGCGAUAAUAUUGAGGAUUUCGUGGAAGCUCAUGCGACCCCCAUUGCGAUGCGUCGUUUUUACAGUUUCCGGUAAGUUACUUGGGAAAAAGCCAUUAACCAUCUGGUUUCCUCUCACGCGCUCUGGUUAUUAAUUUAUGCUAUU
rnacentral:misc_RNA from 1 species